GAUGAACGCUGGCGGCGUGCCUAAUACAUGCAAGUCGAGCGAACAGAUGAGGAGCUUGCUCCUCUGACGAUAGCGGCGCACGUGUGAGUAACACGUGUAUAACCUACCUAUAUGACUGGUAUCACUUCGGGAAACCGGCGCUAAUACCGGAUAAUAUAUUGCACCGCAUUGUUCAAUAGUGAAAGUCGGUUUUGCUGUCACUUAUAGAUGGAUCCGCGCCGCAUUAUCUGGUUGUUAAGGUAACGGCUUACCAAGGCAACGAUGCGUAGCCUACCUGAGAGGGUGAUCGGCCAGACUGGAACUGAGACAGGCACGAGACGCCUACGGGAGGGAGCAGAAGGGAAUCUUCUGCAAUGGGCGAAAAUUUUGCGGAGCGGCGCCACGUCAGUGAGGAAGGUCUUGGGAUCGGUAAGCUGUAUUUUGAGGGGAAAACAAAUGGGUAAGUAACUAUGCCCGGCGUGACGGUAACUAAUCAGAAAGCAACGGCUAACUACGUG
rnacentral:rRNA from 1 species